UGGGAUCUAUGUUCAUUUCUGAUACUCGG
rnacentral:piRNA from 1 species